GAUGAACGCUGGCGGCGUGCCUAAUACAUGCAAGUCGAGCGAACAGACGAGGAGCUUGCCCCUCUGACGUUAUAGGCGCACGGGUGAGUAACACGUGGAUACCCUCCCUAUAUGACUGGGGUAACUUCGGGAAACAGGAGCUAUUAUCGGAUAAUAUAUUGAACCGCAUGGUUCAAUAGUGAUAGACGGUUUUGUCUACACGUAUACUUGCACUGGAGCCGGAUUAUGUGGUUGGUUAGGUAACGGCCUACCAAGGGAACGAUGGGUAGCCGACCGGAGAGAGUGAUCGGCAACACGGGAACUGAGACACGGUCAAGACUCCUCCGGGGGGCAGCAGUAGGGAAUCUUCGGAAAGGAGGGAAGGCCUGACGGGGAAACGCGAGGUGGGUAUGGCAGGUCUCCGGAUGUUAAAACUCUGUUAUUGGGGAGAAACAAAUGUGUAAGAAACUAUGCACGUAUUGACGGUACCUAAUCAGAAAGCCACGGCUAACUACGUG
rnacentral:rRNA from 1 species